UAAAGCUCAUUUCAUGAGGUGUUAUAACCCUUUCGUGUAGUGUUGUUUUUUUGUUAUAAUCAUGAUUGAGAUUAAAAAAAAUUAAACAUUUCGAAGCGAGAGGAUGAGGGUGGCUGUGAGGGGUGGUAAAGGAGGCCACUAAAAGGGAUAUAGCACCUACAUGUAAUUUGCCUUAUUUAGAUAUGUACCUACUUCCGCUACCCAUUAAUUUUUCAUUGCGUCAGAAUAAAUAUCUCCCGUUUAAAUAUUUCUUGUCCUUUACCUUUCCUUGGUUUUAGUAAUCGCUAAUGCAUCCAAAUCUUUUUUUAAUCCCCUUGUUUUUCCAGUUUGUACCUCAUAUUUUUCACCUUUUUGUAUUUGAUUGCCAGUUACUUUGCCCUUUUCGCUUGGUGUGUUCCGUAAGUUUUUGAACGUUUUUCUUUUUUUGAGGCAACAAUUACUGGCUGAUGGAUCUAUUUGUACGAUUUCCAUAUAUUGUGUUCUUUUUUAAUGUGCGUUCUUGUGUGUAUACAUAGUUGCUUCUGGCCUGUCCAAAUUGGUAACGUCUCAAAUAAGGGAUGCAUUUAUCAUUGCAUUAUUUUGUAUCCUACUUUUACUCUUAUAUUUUCUUUUUCAGUUUUCGCAAUUUCUGUGUACUGUUUUUGUAUAAAUUUAAAUUUCUUGUUUCAUCUGCUUUGAUAUCAACUUUAUUUGUGCCAUUCUGGUUUCCUUUGUCUUCAAUUUGUAUGGGCUUUAUUUUAUCUUCCGAUUUUUUUAAAUUUCUUCUUUUGGGUGCUACACACACUGCAAAUACCUCCUUCAUUUAAUCUACAAUUUAUCAAACAGUUCCAUAUUGUUUUUGUUGUACUAGAUAAUCUUCGUUUUUUAGCAUACGCCCCUCUUCUGGUGUUUUCCGUUGUAGUAGUUCGGCAGUUAUUUUGGCUAGGUACCCCAAUCAUUUUUUAUCUCGUAAGCUUCUGUACUUUCUAUUUUAUGAUUUCCGAUGUGAUAUAAACGUAUCCAAUUCACCUUUGUUUCCAGCACUUACUUGAUCUCUUUUAAGAAUAUAAUGUUAUUUUUUCUUACAUAUUUUUCGUGUCCUCAAAGUCUUCCUUUUUUUAUUUACGCGUUAUCCUAAUUUUUAUUUUCUUAUUGCAACUCUGUUUCCUUUUGUCUUGUCUUAUUAAUUUGUCUUUUUUUUUGUUUUUUUAUUCCUCAACUCUUUCUUCCAAUUAUCACUUGGGUGUAGCUGGCCUUAAGUAUUACCUUCACCUACUUGCCCAUUUGUCUUAUUGUAAAAUCCUAUCCAAGUUGAGGAGUGUUUUUGUAGAAGGCUUUCUUUAGGACGUUAUUUUGGAUUUUUUUAUACAUCAAAAUUUGAUUUAUUUUUGGCAAUUUCAUGUUUCUUUCACCUAUUUUUGGUACUUAUGCGCAUUAUGAUUGUAUGACUCAUCGUCUUGACCUUUCAGUUUUACCUUUUUCCACUAAAAAGUUUUGUUUCGUUCUGUAUUUCCAUUUUUCCAUAAACGUGGCUCUCAAUUUUUGUUUGGUAUGUCAUGAAGGACCUGGGUACCGUCACUAUGUAUUCGUCGGUGGGGCCAAAGGAAAGUAGAUUAGGGACUUGAUGUAUUUAUCGGUGGGGUCAGACGAAAGUGGUGCGUAGGGACGCGAUGUAUCCGAUGGUGCAGCCAAGGAAAGGGUCGAGAUGUAUACGUCUAUGGAGCUAAAACAAAGUGGCGGGUUAGCACGCAUUAUACCUGUCGGUAGGGCCAAUCGAAUAUGGAGGUUCGGACACAAUGUAUUCGUAGAUGGGAUUUAUGUAUUCAUUAAUGGAGCCAAGGAGGUUAGGGACGCGGUGUAUUCAUUGGUGGGAUUAAGAAAAGUUGAGGAUAAGGACGCGAUGGUUUCGUUGAUGAGACCAAAGGAAAGUUUAGGACGGGGACGCGUUAUAUUCGUUUUUGGGCCCAUAUUAAAGUUUAGAGUAGGGACACGAUGUAUCCAUUGCCUUGUGCAAAAUAAAGUGGAGGGAAGGGACACGAUGUGUUCGUCGAUGGGGCCAUGAAGUAUCGCCAACCCCGUUGAAUAACGCGGAUGGUUCCACUGAGUUAUUGCCGUUAUUGGAGGUGACUCACCUUUUAACGUGAAAUACCUAUCCUUCAUAGUAUUUUCGAGCGUAUCCAGCCACUGUUCUCCACUGUACCGACUAUCCUGUUAUUAGCCGCCACCCAUCCAUAACUGUAGUGAUAAGUCUAAAGGGUUCCAGAACAGCUAAUUCUGAAGUUACUUCGCAAAGUGAGACCGCUUUACACCCGAUUUGUUCCCCGCAAUCUUUGAAGAGAUUGUCGAUAUCAGCCAACGGUUCUGCAGUGCAUCGUACCUCCCUGAUGAAGCUUCCCAGGCUAGGCCGGAAUUAAUAAGGCUAAGGAUAUCAGAAGGGCAGCCUUAUAAAGGUAGGAUUUUUUCUCUUUUGCAUGGUGUAUUGCAUGUCAUAUUUUGUGUAAAGGGGGGAAAAGUGACUAGUGCAUAUGGUGACUAAAAAGAAGAUCGUCAACUGUAUUGAGCUAACCGAGAAAGUAGUAAGUGAGUUGUGACUAUCUUCUCAAUCUAUCAUCUUGGCGAUGUAAGAUUACCGCAAUGAUUCUUUAAGUACCUAGUCCCUUUCGAAGUCUGCGUCAGUUUUCGUUAUAUUAACAAGCGAUUAUGUAUUCAUAGCCACAGUAAUGAUAAGACGUAAACUGACUGGUCGACGAACGAGACUAUGGAGAAGUAUUGUAGUCAAUUCUUUCGUUUCCAAGUGCCAUGGAUUUGAUGAUUGUUAUACCUCAUUUAUUAUUACAUGAAGAUCGGCUUAAUAGUUUUUAAAAAGAGGGUGAGUAGUUGACUUAAUAAAUAGUAUGUUCGUUUAUUGUUACUGGUCUGUGAUGCCAUAAGAUCAUAUUACAGUUAUUUAAUAAACGAGCCCACUCUUACAAUAAAUUAUUACAUUGUGUGUUUACAUUGUUUUACUAAUUUCAUUGGUUAUUCGCAGGGCCAAGUGAUCGGUCUACUCCCAGUAUCAGUUCUACACAAGCAACUCCGGUAGUGGAUCUUGAUUCAAGAUUAUCGUCAUCCCUGUUGAAUAAUUGUAUGGAUAUUGAAUACGAGAGAGAUUCGAGAAGGGCAGCUAUAUAAAGGUAGGAUUUUUCUUUUAUUAAUUUUAAGCAGUGGGGGAAAAGUGAAUAGUGUCUGGAGAUAUUUUCAACUGAUCGUACAUCGUAAGUAAAGUUUAGUUGUCUUCUUAUCUUGGUGACAUAAGAUUGAUUGCAAUGAUUCUUCAAAGGUAUCUUUGGCGGAAUCAAUCAAUUUGCAUCAUAUUAAUUUGUAGAAGUAUGAAUUCAUAAUUGUACUUUUUUUUAUGAAGCAAAACGAUUGUCUUUGCGAACAAACCUGUGCAGACACAUUGGAAUCAUGUCUUCCGUUCCCAAGUUGAGUGAUAGUCAACGCCCAAUUCUUAAAUCAAUUAUUUUCGUUUUUUCUUAUGAAUAUGCAUUAUGCACCUAAUACAUUUUCCUUACAGCACACCAUUUUGGAAGCAGUUCGUUUGACAGGGGUUUCCAAGGCGUAUGUCAGGGGGAACCUUAGUUAGAAGUAGUACUGUUGUAAAUUAA